rnacentral:lncRNA from 1 species
AUGAAUAAUGUGGACACGCCAUCAUUUGACAUCUUUUUCUCUUUCCGAUUCUCUCUUGAUCUUCCGUUCCUGUCUCUGCUCCCUUUCCUUUCCUUUGCCUUGCUUUUCCUUUGCUUUGUUUUGCUUGCUUUUCCACUCAUUUGCCUUGUCUUGUUUUGCCUUUCUUUUCCUUUUUCCUUUCCUUUGCCUUGCUUUUAUUUUCUUUGUAUUGCUUUUCCCUUUCCUUUGCCAUGCUUUUGUUUUGCUUGCUUUUCCAUUCAUUUGCCUUGCUUUUCCUUUCCCUUGCUUUUCCUUUCCUUUCCUUUUUCCUUUCCUUUGCCUUGCUUUCCCUUUCUUUUCUUCUCUCCUUUCCUUUGCCUUGCUUGGCUUUCCUUUCCUUUCCCUUGCUUUUCCUUUCCCUUUGCUUUGUUUUGCUUGCUUUUCCUUUCCUUUCCUUUGCCUUGCUUUCCCUUUCUUUUCCUUUUUCCUUUCCUUUGCUUUCCUUUGCCUUGCUUUUCCUUCCCUUUCCUGUUUUUUUCUCAUUCCCUUUCCUUUCCUUUGCUUGCUCUCCUUUUCUUUUCCUUUUUCCUUUCCUUUCCCUUUGCUUUGUUUUGCUGGCUUUUCCUUUGCUUUGCAUGCUUUUUCUUUCCUUUCCUUUCCUUUGCCUUACUUUUCCUUUGCUUUGCUUUUCCUUUGCCUUUCCUUUCCUUUCCCUUUCUAUUGCUUGCUUUUCCUUCCCUUCCCUUUCCUUUCCUUUGCUGGCUCUCCUUUUCUUUUCCUUUUUCCUUUUGUCUUGCUUUUCCUCUCCUUCCCUUCUCUAUGCUUUCCUUCCCUUUCCUUUCCUUUGCCUUACUUUUCUUUGCUUGCUUUUCCUUUGUCUGCUUUCCUUUCCCUUUCCUUUCCUUUCCCUUUCCAUUGCUUGCUUUUCCUGCCCUUCCCUGUCCUUUUUCCUUUCCUUUCCUUUCCUUUGCUUGCUCUCCUUUUCUUUUCCUUUUUCCUUUCCUUUGCUUGCUCUCCUUUUCUUUUCCUUUCCUUUCCUUUCCUUUGCUGGCUCUCCUUUUCUUUUCCUUUUUCCUUUUGUCUUGCUUUUCCUCUCCUUCCCUUCUCUAUGCUUUCCUUCCCUUUUCUUUCCUUUGCCUUGCUCUCCUUUUCUUUUCCUUUUUCCUUUCCUUUCCCUUUGCUUUGAUUUGCUGGCAUUUCCUUUGCUUUGCUUGCUUUAUCUUUACUUUACUAUCACUUUGCCUUACUUUACCUAUGCUAUGCUUUUCCUUUGCCUUUCCUUUGCCUAUCCUUUUCUAUUGCUUGCUUUUCCAUCCCUUCCCUUCCCUUUCCUUUGCUGACUCUACUAUUCUUUUCCUUAUCCUUUCCAUAGUCUUGCUAUUCCUCUCCUUCCCAUUACAUUCCUUUGCCUUGCUCUCCUUUACAUUUCCUUUAUACUUUUCAUUCAUUUCCUUUGCAUGA